GAUGUAAGAUGUAUUUUGAUACGGUCUCCUUUGCAUGCCAUGGACCUGAUGGAUGGAACAGUCUCUGCAUUUUGAUGUAGGCAGCAACAAAAAAAAUUCCACCUGGGGGAAAAAAAAAGAACAUAGAUGAGAGCUCAUAAUGCUACACUGCUGCCAAAACACUAGUGCUAUUCCCUAGUAUGCAUGGAGAUGAAUUACAAGCAACAUCAAAGGGUUGUGUUGUCACUUUCUGUAGGCUUUGUAGCAAUCAUUUCUGAAACUUGAACAGCAUUUUAAAGGAAAUUUGAACAAUGUUUUGCCAUCUUCCCUCAAGAGCCUUUUCAAAACCCAUUUUCCAUAGCACACCUACAGAAGACUACAAUUUAGGAAAACUGGAGAAGGGUGCGUGCGUGCGUGCGUGCGUGCGUGUGGUGAUCUUUGCAGCUGCUAGAGACUGCAGCUCUUCAGGGAUAAGACUGUCAUUGGUGCAAAGUCCCACCACCCUGAACACAACGGGCUGCUGAGGUGGUUGUCAUGCCGUUACCCUCAGGAUACAGCUGUCGAAUGUACUCUGCAAAGUCCCACGAUGAAAGGCAAGAUAUUCCACGGGGUCCAAAAGAGUUUGGAAAGUCUCUCGGCUCCAUAGGGAAAUCCUCACUGUAUGAUAAGUCCUAUGGGCUAAAAAAAAAAGGGGAGGGGGAAAAAUUAAGUCUCUGAGCUUUCUCCUUGGAGUCAUAAAGUUCCUGAAAAUACUGGCUUAACAUUAAGGUGGCAAUUGGAUUUGAUGAGAUGGGCGAUAAGGAAAUAGUAUCUGGGUCUUGGGGAGAAGGCGUUGGGGUGGGGUGGGGGGUGGGGAGAGAGAAGGGUGCCAUAUUGAAAAUGUCGAUGUGUAACAAUAUCUAAAUGAGCAUCUGUGGACCACGGAAUCCUGAUUUCCUAUAACCAUCUCCGCUGCAGAUUCUCUAGUGUUUAAUACAGAGAUUCUAGGCUUGGGCCUGAAGGAAACCUUGCAUACCAAAAAGUUGUGCGUUUUUUCCAACUAUAUCUGCUGCUUUAGUAAAAGCACUUCACUUCUCUACCUAUUUUCAUAACAAUUUUCUGACUAUUUUCAGACAACCUGGAGCAAGUUAAUGUAACCGAAACUUCUGAACAUCUAUCAAAUUUGAUUGAAAUUAAAACACAUGGAGUCAAAAGUUAUCAAGAAGGAUAGACUAAACACAA
rnacentral:lncRNA from 1 species